CCCUUAGAUGUCCUGGGCCGCACGCGCGCUACACUGAGUGUCUGAGAUACGAGUCUGCCUGGUCCGGCAAGGUCUAGGUAAUCGCUAAAAGACACAUCAUGCUUGGGAUAGAUUAUUGCAAAUAUUAAUCUUGAACGAGGAAUUCCUAGUAAGCGCAAGUCAACAGCUUGCGUUGAUUACGUCCCUGCCCUUUGUACACACCGCGCGUCGCUACUACUGAUUGGAUGUUUAAGCGAGGUUCUCGAACUGCUAGCGACUUAGCUUCGGUGAGGUCGCAGUGUGGGAAGUGAACCUAGCUUUGGUGUCUAGAGGAAGUAAAAGUCGUAACA
rnacentral:rRNA from 1 species